GGAAGUAAAGUCGUAACAAGUUUCCGUAGGUGAACCUGCGAAGAUCAUUAAUAAAUGGCUCCGCGUUAGGAGCACUUAAUAAUCCUACCUUUGUGAAUUUGUUGUUUGAAAUAAUUUUUUUUAAAAUUAUUGAAUGUCUUUCCCUGUUGAAUUAGAGUGUUUUCGGACACAAAGAUCGCAGGGGAUAGUCAAUAAUUUUAAAAAGACUUUUUUAAAUUAAACUUUUUGUAUUCAUUUGUCUAAAUUAUUUUUAUAAUAUAAAACAACUUUUGACAAUGGAUCUCUUGGUUUCGCAACGAUGAAGAACGCAGCAAAAUGCGAUAAGUAGUGUGAAUUGCAGAAUACGUGAAUCAUCGAAUCUUCGAACGCAUAUUGCACUUUUUUAGUUUACUAAAAAGUAUGUCUGUUUGAGUAUCAGUAAAUAUUCUCAUAAAAACAUUGUUUUUAAGGUUAUGAGUGUUUACAACGAUACAAGUUGUUUCACUUUAAAUUUUUUUUAAAUUUGAAAUUUUUCUAAUUUAAAAUAAAUUGGAUAAAUUUUCCCGUAAAAAGGAAUAACCUAAACAAUUUUAAUUUUAAUAAUUAGAAUUCAAAUAUCAAAAGGAAUUUAUUCAAAAUAACUUGAUCUCAAAUCAGAUAAGAGUACCGCUGAACUAAGCAUAUCAAUAAGCGGAGGAAAAGAAACUAACAAGGAUUCCUUAGUAACGCGAGUGUAGCGGGAAGAGCUCAAAUUUGAAAUCUUCAAGGUUUUACCUUGACGAAUUGUAGUUUAAAGAAGUGUUUUCUGUUGAAGUUUUGGUAAAAGUUCUUUGGAAUAGGACAUCAUAGAGGGUGAGAUCCGUAUUUGACCAUUAUUUCAGCUGUGUGAUACACUUUCAAAGAGUCGGAUUGUUUGGGAAUGCAGUCCAAAAUGGUGGUAAAUUUCAUCUAAAGCUAAAUAUUGGCGAGAGACCGAUAGCGAACAAGUACCGUGAGGGAAGAUGAAAAGAACUUUGAAAAGAGAGUUAACAGUACUGAAAUUGUCAAAGGGAAGCGUUUGACACCAGUGUUGUUUUUCCGAAAAUCAAUUAAAAAAAGUUGGAUUUUGUGUUGUAUUGACUUAACAGCUUCUCACUCUUUUCCUGACUUUUUUUAAUGCACUUUUCGUUAACAAGUACAUCAGUUCUUUUGUUGUAAAAGGGUCAUUGGAAGGUGGCUUUUUUUCGGGAGAAAGUGUUUAUAGCCUUUGAUCUCUGCAA
rnacentral:misc_RNA from 1 species